rnacentral:misc_RNA from 1 species
UUAAAUAAUUUAUAUUUUCACUCAGACUGCAAUCUUCAGACAGCGUUCAAUGGUGUCUUCGGCGGGCGCGGGCCAGAGGGCAGAAGCCCCCCGGCGGCCGUGAGGCGGGCCCGCCGAAGCAACAAGGUACGAUAAACACGGGUGGGAGGUUGGACCCAGAGGGCCCUCACUCGGUAAUGAUCCUUCCGCAGGUUCACCUACGGAAA